rnacentral:rRNA from 1 species
CCUACGGGUGGCAGCAGUCGAGAAUCAUUCACAAUGGGGGAAACCCUGAUGGUGCGACGCCGCGUGGGGGAAUGAAGGUCUUCGGAUUGUACACCCCUGUCAUGUGGGAGCAAUUUAAAAAGCUAGUACCACAAUAGGAAGAGACGGCUAACUCUUUGCCAGCAGCCGCGGUAAUACAGAGGUCUCAAGCGUUGUUCGGCAUCACUGGGCGUAAAGCGUUCGUUGGCUGUUUCGUAAGUCGUGUGUGAAAGGGGCGGGCUCAACCCGCGGACGGCACAUGAUACUGCGAGACUAGAGUAAUGGAGGGGGAGCCGGAAUAAGCGGUGUAGCAGUGAAAUGCGUAGAUAUCGAGAGGAACACUCGUGGCGAAGGCGGGUUCCUGGACAUUAACUGACGCUGAGGCACGAAGGCCAGGGGAGCGAAAGGGAUUAGAUACCCCAGUAGUC